rnacentral:rRNA from 1 species
GAUGAACGCUGGCGGCGUGCCUAAUACAUGCAAGUCGAGCGAACGGACGAGAAGCUUGCUUCUCUGAUGUUAGCGGCGGACGGGUGAGUAACACGUGGAUAACCUACCUAUAAGACUGGGAUAACUUCGGGAAACCGGAGCUAAUACCGGAUAAUAUUUUGAACCGCAUGGUUCAAAAGUGAAAGACGGUCUUGCUGUCACUUAUAGAUGGAUCCGCGCUGCAUUAGCUAGUUGGUAAGGUAACGGCUUACCAAGGCAACGAUGCAUAGCCGACCUGAGAGGGUGAUCGGCCACACUGGAACUGAGACACGGUCCAGACUCCUACGGGAGGCAGCAGUAGGGAAUCUUCCGCAAUGGGCGAAAGCCUGACGGAGCAACGCCGCGUGAGUGAUGAAGGCCUUCGGAUCGUAAAACUCUGUUAUUAGGGAAGAACAUAUGUGUAAGAAACUGUGCACAUCCUGACGGUACCUAAUCAGAAAGCCACGGCUAACUACGUG